rnacentral:RNase_P_RNA from 1 species
GUAAGAGCGCACCGCGCGGCUGGUAACAGUCCGUGGCACGGUAAACUCCACCCGGAGCAAGGCCAAAUAGGGGUUCAUAAGGUACGGCCCGUACUGAACCCGGGUAGGCUGCUUGAGCCAGUGAGCGAUUGCUGGCCUAGAUGAAUGACUGUCCACGACAGAACCCGGCUUAUCGGUCAGUUUCACCU